UACAGAGGUCCCAAGCGUUGUUCGGAUUCAUUGGGCGUAAAGGGUGUGUAGGUGGCGCCGUAAGUCGGGUGUGAAAUCUCGGGGCUUAACUCCGAAACUGCAUUCGAUACUGCGGUGCUUGAGGACUGGAGAGGAGACUGGAAUUCAUGGUGUAGCGGUGAAAUGCGUAGAUAUCGUAAGGAAGACCAGUGGCGAAGGCGGGUCUCUGGACAGUUCCUGACGCUGAGGCACGAAGGCCAGGGGAGCAAACGGG
rnacentral:rRNA from 1 species